UACGUAGGGGGCUAGCGUUGUCCGGAAUCAUUGGGCGUAAAGAGCGUGUAGGCGGCCCGGUAAGUCCGCUGUAAAAGUCAAAGGCUCAACCUUUGAAUGUCAGUGGAUACUGCCGGGCUAGAGUCCGGAAGAGGCGGGUGGAACUCCUGGUGUAGCGGUGGAAUGCGCAGAUAUCAGGAAGAACACCAACGGCGAAGGCAGCUCGCUGGGACGGUACUGACGCUGAGACGCGAAAGCGUGGGGAGCGAACAGG
rnacentral:rRNA from 1 species